CAUCAUAAAUUCUACUCGGUGACAUGGACAGCCUCAGAGAGAGAAAGGGAUCUUAUACGGUACAAGCAUUAAGGAUUUUCUAAAGGAAACAACAAUGCACGGAAUAAAUUUUCAUCAAUUCGGGACUUUAGCAUUGGCUCUAUUUUCAAUUUCAAUGUUCUGUUCAUGCGCUGUUAGUGCAUCACGUGACGACUUUCAAACUGCUCCCUCCGAUCGAGAAAAUAGCGAACUUGCUUACAUUCUUUCCAAUAUUCGGCAAAAGUUAAGGAGCACUGAUUCAGAGUCAUUUCCAGUUUUAUUGCAACCAUCAUCAUUAAAUGCCAAAAGAUCUAUUUUUGGAGGAAACAGAUCAACGAAGAAACGCGGAGGAAUCUGGAUUUGGAUGCCAGCGCAAGGAUAUGUGUCUGUACCACGUGACGAGGUCAGUGCAGGAGGUAGCAAGGGCUCUUCAUCAAACCUCCUAAGAUACGGCUAACGAACAGUCUUGUCUUCAUGGAAUUAUGCCAAUCACCAUGACAUAAUUGUUUAUUUUUUUCUAAAUAAAGCAGCUACAUAUU